UACGAAGGGGGCUAGCGUUGCUCGGAAUUACUGGGCGUAAAGCGCACGUAGGCGGCUUUCUAAGUCGGGGGUGAAAUCCUGGAGCUCAACUCCAGAACUGCCUUCGAUACUGGCGAUCUUGAGUCCGGGAGAGGUGAGUGGAAUUCCCAGUGUAGCGGUGAAAUGCGUAGAUAUUGGGAGGAACACCAGUGGCGAAGGCGGCUCACUGGACCGGUACUGACGCUGAUGCGCGAAAGCGUGGGGAGCAAACGGG
rnacentral:rRNA from 1 species